rnacentral:lncRNA from 1 species
CUCAGGAAGCUGCUCGUCUUCAUAUGAAAGUCUCAGAGCGCCUCAAGAAGUCAGCGAACGUCCCAGAAACUCCCAGAGAGAUGAGAGCCUUUCAGACGCUAGGGUGUGUGUCAGAUGCCAUCAGGGCUUUCUUUAUCACUGAGUGUCUGCUGACGAGUGUGAGGGGAGAAGGAGGAGACUCUGGAAACAAGCUGGAGAUUAAGUAUGCUUUGAUCGGAGGAGGGAUCGGCCUGUUUUUUGCUCUUGUGUUCAUUCUCGUAAAGAUCUGGAUCAUCAGGAAACAAGUGCUUGAAAACAGCACAGACAGCAUCAGGAGACAGUCAGAGCUGCACACGCUCCCAUCGAGCCUUCUCAGCCAAUCGCCAGUGAGCCAAAGUGUCCGGUAACAUGUGGUGUCAAAGGUCACGCAGAGUGAUGUGCACAAGAACCCUGCAAAAGUGACACCUGAGUGGAGGCGCAACCAGGCGACCCAUCGUCUCCUCACGUUCAGUCGCACAAAUGUCAAACUACAACUAUUUAACCUCAUUUACCAUCUUAAUAAUGUCCGUCACUCUUGACAAAAAGAAAAAUAAAUAUGGCUGCAAGCAGCA